UCAUGGAAUAAAUAAAGUCGAAAAAUACGAACAACAGUUUAAAACUUAAAGAUUUUGGCGGUGUCUCAUCGAACCAGGGGAACCUGUCUCAUAACUCGAUAAUCCACGAACUCCCUACCCUCUCUAGAUUAAACAGCUUGUGUACUGCCGUCGUAAGCACACCUCUAAAAGCAAGUAUGCAACUAUGACAAACUCAUAUACGUCAGGUCAAAGUGCAGCUUAUGGGAGGGCGACGAUGGGUUACACCCUAAAUAAAGAUACAAAAUAUAACACUAAAAGCUAUAUGAAGGUGGACUUGGACGUAAUAAAGAUACAAAACCAAAAUGAAAACGAAUCUGAGACAUGCACACAUCGCCCGUCACUCUUGCCCAAAGGUA
rnacentral:rRNA from 1 species